UGAACAGGAAGACUCAUUUCCCAACCACACCCUGAAAGGUGGAAAGGCAUCAUGAUACAAAGACAGAGUGACAAUUUUAAAUUUAAGUAAAUUUGCCUGAAGAUGGACUACAGCAGAAAGCUACUUGAGUUAGGCACAAAUUGACAGUGGUGGCCCUGGAGAAGGGACUAGCUCAACAGAGAUUCCAGGAAAGAAAAACUUUGGAUUGUCAGCAUGUUACAAUGGGGGAAAAAUGCUGCUAUUGGAAUCAGAAGACUUGUGUUCAAAGAUCUCUUCUAUUAGUUGUGUGAAUCUAGAUCAAAUUUGUACCUCAUGGUGAACAUAGAUUGGUGAAACACAAACAACAUUUGGGGUAGAACAGGGAUCCACCCGGGACCACUUCAGAAGACCAGAAGAAAGACUCCAGGACAGGGUUUAACCUGUAUGAAGUAUAAACACCUAGCUCCAUAGAAACAGCCAGCCUGGACUAGCCAGGUUUGUCUGGAGCCUCACUUGGAGCCACAGGAACUUUGACCUCCCAGAUAACAUGGGGAACUGGGGGUCUGAGUCUAGGACAGAGGUGUAUCUAUCCUGUAAGUGUAGUUGGACUGCUGAGACAUGGCCUGGACAAGAAGGAACCAGCACAUCUGGUGAGUACAGAAAGAGUGGAGUAGGGAUGCUGCUGGCUGCGGGCAUUUGCAGGAGGAUGGGGUUUUUGGUUUGGGUUCAGGUCAGAGGGUACAGCUGAAGUGAAGCUAGAAGCACCAUCCCCCAACCCCAGGAUUAGAGAUGAACAGGCAAAGAAGAAAGAAUCUAACCAUAGAAACUUACUAUAAUAAUAAGGAAGUCCAGGGUUCAUCUUCAGAAGAGGACAGUGAAGUUAAAAAAGCCUCUUGUACCCCAAAGAGUAACACUAAAUGGCUCCCUGCCCAGAAAAAAAUUUAUAGAAGAACUAAAAAAAGACUUUAAAAAUCAAGUUAAAAAAGAUUGAGGAAAAAUUAAAAAUAUAUAUAAUAAAAUAAAAAUAAUCAAAAAAC